rnacentral:rRNA from 1 species
GAGGGUGAUCGGCCACAUUGGGACUGAGACACGGCCCAAACUCCUACGGGAGGCAGCAGUAGGGAAUCUUCGGCAAUGGACGAAAGUCUGACCGAGCAACGCCGCGUGAGUGAAGAAGGUUUUCGGAUCGUAAAACUCUGUUGUUAGAGAAGAACAAGGAUGAGAGUAACUGUUCAUCCCUUGACGGUAUCUAACCAGAAAGCCACGGCUAACUACGUGCCAGCAGCCGCGGUAAUACGUAGGUGGCAAGCGUUGUCCGGAUUUAUUGGGCGUAAAGCGAGCGCAGGCGGUUUCUUAAGUCUGAUGUGAAAGCCCCCGGCUCAACCGGGGAGGGUCAUUGGAAACUGGGAGACUUGAGUGCAGAAGAGGAGAGUGGAAUUCCAUGUGUAGCGGUGAAAUGCGUAGAUAUAUGGAGGAACACCAGUGGCGAAGGCGGCUCUCUGGUCUGUAACUGACGCUGAGGCUCGAAAGCGUGGGGAGCAAACAGGAUUAGAUACCCUGGUAGUCCACGCCGUAAACGAUGAGUGCUAAGUGUUGGAGGGUUUCCGCCCUUCAGUGCUGCAGCUAACGCAUUAAGCACUCCGCCUGGGGAGUACGACCGCAAGGUUGAAACUCAAAGGAAUUGACGGGGGCCCGCACAAGCGGUGGAGCAUGUGGUUUAAUUCGAAGCAACGCGAAGAACCUUACCAGGUCUUGACAUCCUUUGACCACUCUAGAGAUAGAGCUUCCCCUUCGGGGGCAAAGUGACAGGUGGUGCAUGGUUGUCGUCAGCUCGUGUCGUGAGAUGUUGGGUUAAGUCCCGCAACGAGCGCAACCCUUAUUGUUAGUUGCCAUCAUUCAGUUGGGCACUCUAGCAAGACUGCCGGUGACAAACCGGAGGAAGGUGGGGAUGACGUCAAAUCAUCAUGCCCCUUAUGACCUGGGCUACACACGUGCUACAAUGGGAAGUACAACGAGUUGCGAAGUCGCGAGGCUAAGCUAAUCUCUUAAAGCUUCUCUCAGUUCGGAUUGCAGGCUGCAACUCGCCUGCAUGAAGCCGGAAUCGCUAGUAAUCGCGGAUCAGCACGCCGCGGUGAAUACGUUCCCGGGCCUUGUACACACCGCCCGUCACACCACGAGAGUUUGUAACACCCGAAGUCGGUGAGGUAACCUUUUUGGAGCCAGCCGCCUAAGGUGGGAUAGAUGAUUGGGGUGAAGUCGUAACAAGGUAGCCGUAUCGGAAGGUGCGGCUGGAUCACCUCCUUU